rnacentral:misc_RNA from 1 species
GUGUUUUUCCCAACCCAAAAAUUCCAAAAUCAAAAGGCUGGUGCUGGGCGCGGGCAAAGUAGAGCGGUGCGGAGCAAAAUAUUUUGUGCAGUGAAACCCUAAAAAGGAGAAGGGGGAAGAAAAUGAGGCAUAACACCCACCAUCAUCACCAACACCAACACCAAGCAGCAGACAGUUUAGUGAAUCUAUUGACAAAGGCAAAUCACGAUCUUACCCUGGUUCAGCUGAAGCUCGAGAAGGAGUUUCAACAAGUCUAUCCCAAUAACGCAAAUCCUAUGAAACUAUCUAAUAGGAUUAAGAAGAUGCAGGAGGAUCUUACUACAUUGAAAGAGCAGUGCCGCGAGCUUCUUUCUGCCAAACAGGACUUGAUUGAUAAAGCUCGGACAACUCUUGUUGGAAACAGAAGUUUACUACAGAGAAUGCAUACAUCAAUGGGCAAUCCCCUCUCUAGUGUCGAUGAGGACCCUGCAUUUGCUAAUUUCAACCAGAUUGUUGAUGAAUGGACGAUUCAAGUUAGAUCAAGAACAGGGGAUGAGGCG